CCUGACUGCCCUUUGAGUGGACAUCACCAUCAGUGCGUUUUACUGAGUGUUGAUUGCCCUCUGAUUGUUCAGCUACAUAGACCCAAAGGCUCUUUUAAGAGCCACAUCACGAGAGCGUCUUUGGCUUUCAGCUACAUAGACCCAAAGGCUCUUUUAAGAGCCACAUUACGAGAGCGUCUUUGGCUUUCAGCUACAUAGACCCAAAGGCUCUUUUAAGAGCCACAUCACGAGAGCGUCUUUGGCUUUGUAAGUACACAUUUUGACUGACUGUCAAAUAACUCAGUAUUUGAGUUUAGAUCAAUUAAAGCAACAUCAUGCAGCAUGUUAGUAAUAUCUUAAGACAUUAAGGGGGUUGGUUCUUAUUAAUAUAUUUAUUUAUUUUUAAGUAAAUGAGCAUAUAAAUAAAUAAACUAGCAUCCAGCAUCUCUGAUUUGUUAUGAGGUUUCAUCAUAACAUACUAAUUACAUUUACUCAUUUAGCAGACAU